GGCACAUCAGGACACACACACCAGCGUACAGCAGAACACAACAGGACACACUAGGACACACCAGGGCUCAGCAGGACAAAAAGAAACACUGGGACACCCCUGAACACAGCAGGACAAGUAACCAUCAGGUCACCCCUGGACAAGGAUACACCGGACACACCAUGACCAGGAAAUACCAGGACAGGGAACUACCAGGAUGCGCAACCACCAGGACACCCAGGACACCCCAGGACAUCCCAGGACACCCCAGUUCACCCCCAGGACACCCCAGGACAUUCCAAGAUGCUUGAUUUCAGCCACCUUCUCUACUGUGAUGUCAUUACCCUGAGAAAAAGAGUUGAACUGUCGGUCAAUGACUUUUAAAAACACAGACACAUGGCAUGUGACGCUUGGGACACACUGACAGCCACAGGAGGUUCUUCUGGGCCCCUAGGCUGGAACGGGCUCCUCUCCAGCAGGACAGGCCAGCGGCAACACUCUCCCAAACACGAGAGCAGGGAACAUGUCAGUCAGUACUGUGGACGGGCCACUGUGAGGUGGCUCACCUGGAAGUCUCCGGUGCAGCCACCCAGCUUCAGCUUGCCCAGAUGUCCUCAGCUCCUAAGGGACGGGCUGGGCCCACUCAGGCCCCUCAGCCUAGAGCUUCCCAUGCAGCACCUGCCG
rnacentral:lncRNA from 1 species